rnacentral:rRNA from 1 species
UACGAAGGGGGCUAGCGUUGCUCGGAAUCACUGGGCGUAAAGCGCACGUAGGCGGCUUUCUAAGUCAGGGGUGAAAUCCUGGAGCUCAACUCCAGAACUGCCUUUGAUACUGGGAAGCUCGAGUCCGGAAGAGGUGAGUGGAACUCCGAGUGUAGAGGUGAAAUUCGUAGAUAUUCGGAAGAACACCAGUGGCGAAGGCGGCUCACUGGUCCGGUACUGACGCUGAGGUGCGAAAGCGUGGGGAGCGAACAGG